AGGAGCAGAUUUAGAACUCUGGAGACCGACUGUUCUCAGAGAACGGACUGGCAGAGAGAAAAGCUGUAAAGAAGGCAUUCCGAGGAUGAAAUCUGCAGCACAUGCAGCUCCCACAAAGUCCUAUUUUAUCGGAUCCGAGGGCAAAUACGGAUCUUUCCCUCCUCGUUUUCCCGCUGAAUAUGGUACAGUCCGCGGGUGGCCGGAACAAAAGGGGGGGGGGCGCUUCACGUGACUGAACAAUUCCAGAGUCACGUGACUCCGAAGGUCUCCCUGUUAACCUCUCCGAACAUUAACACUUUGGAACCAGGAAUAGCAUCUUCGGACCAUCUCAGCAUUAAGCUCCAAUUCUCUGGAGUCAGUGGGCCUCUGUGAUCCAAACUAGAGGCUUGGGAGUCAUCAGGAAAGUAAUUUCUCAUUGAGAGAAAGCCAUAUGCUUCGUGCUUCAAGCUAUAAGACCCAUCUUAUCUAACUCCCUUGUUUGCCAGAAAGGAAAUUUAGGUUGUGGUUUGUCCAUUGUAACAGAGUUGAUGUCAUGGUCAGAAUUUGAACCCAGGUCUCUAAAUUAAAUGCUCUUUCCACUAU